GUACACGCUGUGACUAGCAUAUCAAUAAGCGGAGGAAAAGAAACUAACAAGGAUUCCCCUAGUAACGGCGAGUGAAGCGGGAAGAGCUCAAAUUUGAAAUCUUAAAGGGUUUCCCUUUACGAAUUGUAGUUUAAAGAAGUGUUUUCUGUUGAGGUUUUGGUAAAAGUUCUUUGGAAUAGGACAUCAUAGAGGGUGAGAAUCCCGUAUUUGACCUUUACUUUCAACUUUGUGAUACACUUUCAAAGAGUCGGAUUGUUUGGGAAUGCAGUCCAAAAUGGGUGGUAAAUUUCAUCUAAAGCUAAAUAUUGGCGAGAGACCGAUAGCGAACAAGUACCGUGAGGGAAAGAUGAAAAGAACUUUGAAAAGAGAGUUAAACAGUACGUGAAAUUGUCAAAAGGGAAGCGUUUGACACCAGUGUUGUUUUUCUGGAAAUCAAUUAAAGAACUGUUUAUGCUAAGUUGUUUAGACUUUAUCAGCUAACUGUUUAGUUUUGAGCUUUUCUUUAAUGCACUUUUCAGUUAACAAGUCAACAUCAAUUUCUUUUGCUGUAAAAAAGCUUGAGGAAGGUGGCUUGAGAUUCGUCUUAAGUGUUUAUAGCCUCUUGCCUAUGCAGUCGGAGAGAUUGAGGUCUGCAGCGUAGAUCCUUCGGGGCUAAAUGCAUUUGUGCUAAGUUAUAGCAUUUUAUAGACAACUUGUUGACUAUGAUUUGUCUUGUAGCUUACUCGCUUAUGUUAUUUUACCUACGCUUAGGAUGUUGAAGAUGUAGCACAUCAU
rnacentral:rRNA from 1 species